rnacentral:rRNA from 1 species
AUUGAACGCUGGCGGCAGGCCUAACACAUGCAAGUCGAGCGGAGCGGCGGACGGGUGAGUAAUGCCUAGGAAUGUGCCUGGUAGUGGGGGAUAACGUCCGGUACCGGGCGCUAAUACCGCUUACUAUCAGAUGAGCCUAGGUCGGAUUAGCUAGGUGGUGGGGUAAAGGCCUACCAAGGCGACGAUCCGUAACUGGUCUGAGAGGAUGAGCAGCCACACUGGAACUGAGACACGGUCCAGACUCCUACGGGAGGCAGCAUUGGGGAAUAUUGGACAAUGGGCGCAAGCCUGAUCCAGCCAUGCCGCGUGUGUGAAGAAGGUCUUCGGAUUGUAAAGCACUUUCAGUUGGGAGGCGUUACCUACAGAAUAAGCACCGGCUAACUUCGUGCCAGCAGCCGCGGUAAUUC